rnacentral:lncRNA from 1 species
UUAGCGUGAUUGUGGUAAUCAUUUCACAACAUAUACAUAUAUUUAAACAUCACAUUGUACACUUUAAACAUAUACAGUUUUUCUCAAUUAAACCCCACUAAAGCUGAAAAAAGAUGACGAUGUUGACGACAAUAUAUUGGUCUUCUGUAUAUAUAGCAGAAUUUUAGAAUGCGUAUCUUUCCUGUUUUUUUAAUUUCUUUCAAUUUAAAGGCAAUAAUUCAAUUUUUGAUGGAUCAGCUAUCCUUAGAAGAGUGAAUUGUCAGGACUUUGUUAGGAUCCAAAUCCACUCAACUUAUCUAAAUCCCCUCAAACACAAGUAGCCUUAGGAAAACCUAAAGUUUGAGCUAAUUGGGUUGUAUUGUAUAUAAGAAAUUCAGAUGAGGUAUUGAAAACAAGAUUUUAGAGUUUACAGAGGAUACUAAAACUAGAGGCUGAGCAAAUAACGAGGAACAAAACAAUCAGACUCAAAAGGAUUUGGAUUGUAUAAGUAAUUGGAUCAGCAGAUGGCAAAUGCAGUUCAGUACAGGAAAAUGUAAAAUAGACUUGAAGCGAAAGAAACAAACUAGAGAAUAUGUGCUAAAUGAAAUAAUCAUCCAGAAUGCUGACCAGGAAAUGGAAAGGAGGGGCUAUUAUAAAACAUAAAUCAUAGCAACUCCUAGCUUAUGGCUAAUUCUGUUGUUUUAGAAUCCUAACAAAAAAAAUGUGCACACAUAUCAUCUUUACUGGGAACUUACUGUUCCCUAUGGGAACUAGCAGUUGCUUCAAAUUGCAAUCAUUUCACUCAGUUUUGUAGAGGCACCUUUCAAAAUUUUUUUAAGGUGUUACUUUUUUGAGUGCAGAUUUUUCUCCUCUUUGUUUAAGCUUAUGCUCAUUAUUAUAUAAUUAACCUUUUCAGACAUUGCUGGGAAAAUUCAGAACAAUGUUUUCAGGAUAUUUUACUAAUUACCCUAUAAUUCACCUUGUCAGACAAUCCCCAGGAGGAUCCACACAAGGCUAUCACUCCCCAUUUGUCCUAUUCUCUGAAGAUAUAGUAUACAUUUUGCAAGGGUGGGAGAUCAACUGUUUGGUGAGGCAAAGCUAUAGGCAGUGGAUUAAAAAUGUGUGUGUGUGUGAGUGUGUGUGUGUGUGUGUGUGUGUGCGCGCUUAAGAAUUACCUGGGCAGGUACUUUUAAAAUGGAAUUACUUAGAUGCCUUCUCCAGAGGUUGACACGGUACAACUGAGAAGGGGCCUCGCAAGUGGCAUCCCUAAUAAGCACCCUUGAUGAUUCUGAUGUAGGCCAUCUUUGGGAGACAUUUUGAAAAAUACCAAGUAGCUAGCAAGAAAAAAGCAGAAAGAACACCAAGUCCUAGUCCCUGCUCAUCUAACUGGCUGAUUAAUUCGUUAACAGUCACACCACUCAGGCCUCAUGUUCUUCAUCUGGAAAAUGAGUUCAGUAUCUGUCCAUCAUACCUGACAGAGGAGCAAAUGAAAUAACAUCUAGAAUCUUCUUGCAUACAAAUAUAAAUGAAGAUGAAUAUAUUAGGACUCAGAGAUAUUGAGAUCUCAGGUCACUCUAUGAAAGACUCGUCUUCAAUUUGGGUCAUCUGAAUUUAUAGCCUGACCUCCUUUUAUUUAUACCACAAGCACCCAUUAUAAAAGCAGAAAAGGAAGAACUGGAGGCUGGAGUGCAAUGGCACGAUCUCAGCUCACCGCAACCUCA